ensembl:lncRNA
UUUUGUAAAAGUUGUAGCACCUGUGACUGAUUUAAUGUGGUUUUUAACUUAUUUCCAGCUUCUGUCCCUUAGGAUUUUGGUGGUUUAAGGUGGUAUUACUGAACUGUCAGUGUAGGGUUAUGAAGAGUUGUUGCUGAUGAUCCUUAGGCAUUUUAAGAGCUGCUCUAUCACUUCCGCCUUAAAAUCUACGGCCACACAGCCAGAAGAAGACCUGGAGCAGAUUCUCAGAGGAUGGCAUCUUCCUUCAAGAUUCCCAAGAAGAAACAUCCUCAUGGCUCUGACUCCAGUCCCCUAGACAUGCAGUCACCUCUGUCCCGCCUCCAGACCUCCACCCCUCGACUACAGUUUUACGGGAAUCAGUCCGGCAGGACGCCGUGUAAGCAGCUCUUAGGAAACUUUGAGACGCAGCAGGAACUCAAGAGCCCCAUCGGGUGUGGAGCUUCAGACGCCAAUCACAGAGCAGCAGGCAGCUGGAGCUGCCAAUCACAAGCAGGGCAGAGAGAAGUGACAUCAAGCUGUUUGUCAAACAGAUGGCGUCCUAAGAGAGCAUCUGACCGGCUGCUGCAGCCUGAGGUGGCUUUAGAGCACCUGUCUCCACCACAGAAGAAGAAAGAGCUGUCAGCUUUGGUCAAUAAAAGGAUCUCCGUGGACUCUCUGGCUGAGUUCAGAGGUGACGAGCAUCUUGGGACUUUGAGUUCUUCUACACUGGGAGACAAGAGGUGGAGGAGAGUUGAGUCUAAUGGAGACACUUCUGAGGAGAAGAGCAACACAGGAACUCCUCCUGAAUCUCCUUUGAAACAACAGACGAAGAACUCUCCUAUCUCCAGAUUGAAUCAAACUCCACCCUCAGGCCUACAAAGAUCAUCUUCUUCCAUCUCCAUGGUCUUAUCGUCGACGACGACGCCAGUAAGGAGGGUGCGACUUGCCUCCACCAGCAACCUGAAGGUCGAUGACAGGGAGAAGGAGAGAGAGAGGUGGAGGCAGUUCAAAGAGAAGACUAAGAACAACAGGUCAGCUGUCCUCCACCUCCGACUGAGGACACCCAAACCGAAGCUGAGCCAACCAACUGAGCCAAUCGUGCUGUCCAGUGAGGAGGAGGAGGACGACGGUGAGGGAAACGGAGAUGAAGCAAAGAGGACGUCACAUAGCAGCAACCAGGUUGAUGAAUCUCGUCAGGGAAACUCUGAGAAGGUGCAGGCUCCCAAACUGGUUCCUGUGACGCCAACGUCCUUCCUGCAGCUGGAGUUCGCCUCUCUUCAUGCUGGCCUCACGGCUGCAGAUGCUAACGGGCCGAUUAUGGUGAGACAGUUUGUCACAGCUUCACAUAAACCUGUAAACCAUAAACACGGACACGCUCAGUGUGACGGGGCACAGGAGUAUCAGUGCUCUGUUAUUUGUGAUCUAUAAGGUGUGGCAGCUUUACUGAGUCACUGUUGUGGGGUCUCUCCUGCCCACAGACAGGAGUGUCACUAACAGCAUGUUUACAGCUCCUCUUUCCCCUCAAACGUUUAUUUAUGCUGAUAGAUACAUUUCACAUGAUCAUAAAUUUACAACUUUUUUUCAUUGUAAAAAGUUCAAAAUGUCAUUUAUUGCAUUUUUGUGAUAAAUUUACAACUUUUAUCUAAGAGUGUCCAAGUGUUUUCCAUCAAAUUGACCUGUUUUUUUGAAAAAAUAUCCACAUUUUUUUUAAUAUCUAGAUUUCCCAUAAAUUCAUGACUAAAAUCUCAGAGAAGACCUUUGUUAUGUGAAUGUACACAAUAAAAUAUUCUUUUUAAAAAAAAAAUUGAUUUAUUUAAAUUAACAGCUAAACUUUAGGUAUUUUUACUGUGACCCCGUCUCCCAGCUCCAGAUGUGCUGAACCCUUUAACAUACUGUAAUGUUUUGCUGCUGUGAAAAUGUGACGUUUUUAUAUCGAAGGGUCUAAAUGAAGUCACGUAAUGUUACAAUAAUGAAACAUAUUUAUUGACUCUUUAAAAUCGAUACCUCGCUGAUCUACAUUCACGUUUUUAAUCUAAAAAUAAUCUAAUAAUAAUAAUCCCAGUACCUUAAACUGGUCACACUGGAGUCAGCGUCACGUGCCCAGCAGGAGCGCUCAGUCAUGUGAUCACAUGAUCUUUCUCCACAGGCAGUUGUGGUUUUCCCUUGUUUAACCUCAUGUUUCUGUA